GGAAGGAAACAAAGCUUAAGGCAGUGAUUGAUAGGUUAUUUCUUGGACACAGCUGAACGUAUACUGUGCGCCUGCAACUUUCCGGUGGUUUCGGACCGGACUUCAGUGAAGCCAGUGAAGUCGGUCGACUUGCAGAACUUCCUUUCAGAGGGGCGUACACAGCACCGCGGCCGUGUGCCUGUGAUCUCCUUCUGAGUUUGAAAAAGAAGAUCCUAGACACCGAGCCAAAUAUGUUUGCAUAAACCGGGAGACUUGUGGCUCUAUUUUGUAACAGCUUGGCGCAGGGCAGCUGGUUUGGAGAUGUCUCUGUUCUUCCCUUGGUGGGGGUGCCGGAAAAAAUGUGCUGCCUGGGCGAUCGAGGUUGGGGCAAAAGCGUUGCAAAGGAAAAGGUGGGAGGACUCUACUUUCACAUUUCCCAAAAGAGUUUUACCAUAAGACUAUUUCUGGAUUGUUCUAACGUGAGGAUAUUGGGAGCAUUUUGAAAAUACUGGAGGAAAAGCUGUCACUGGGCGAUUUAAAUCCGGUCUUGUCAUAACCUGCCACACAUCAAGGUUCUGGAAAGUGGAAAAUGUGCAGGGGUU
rnacentral:lncRNA from 1 species